UACGAAGGGGGGCUAGCGUUGCUCGGAAUCACUGGGCGUAAAGCGCACGUAGGCGGAUCUUUAAGUCAGGGGUGAAAUCCCCAAGGCUCAACCUUGGAACUGCCUUUGAUACUGGGGAUCUCGAGUCCGGAAGAGGUUGGUGGAACUGCGAGUGUAGAGGUGAAAUUCGUAGAUAUUCGCAAGAACACCAGUGGCGAAGGCGGCCAACUGGUCCGGAACUGACGCUGAGGUGCGAAAGCGUGGGGAGCAAACAGG
rnacentral:rRNA from 1 species